AGAACCAUAUCCCUCAUAUCCUUCUCUCAUUCAUGUGCAUAGAUACACUCUAUAAAUAAGAGUAGAUUAGGAAGAACUAAAACUACAACAACUUAUAUACUCUCCAAUAUGAAGGCCUUCUACAUAGUAAGCUUUCUUUUGGUUUCCAUCAUCUUUGUUCCUUCCUCUAUAACAGCUCGAGAACUAUCUCAGAAAGAAGAAAAAAGGGCACUAGUAGCAGAUGGUCUGGUUACUAAGUGCACCCGCAAUCCGAAUAAAAGCUGCUUGCCAGCAAUCCCGAAGAAGAAGUGUAACGACCCAUACAACCGCAACUGCCAUCCUUGAAAAAGAUAGUAAUUAUAUUAAGGUGGAUAUUGUAAUGAAAUAAGAGUGAAUGCAUGGCAAAGAAGAAUAAUUUGGCUUUGGUUAUUAUGUUUAGUUGUCGUUUUGGAAAGUACUAUAUAUGUAUAUAGAAUACAGUGUAAUAUAUGAAUAUGUGUGUACGUUUUGAAAGUAUGUAAUUUUUCUUAAUUUU